UACGGGGGGAGCAAGCGUUGUUCGGAUUUACUGGGCGUAAAGGGCGCGUAGGCGGUCACUACAAGUCAGUUGUGAAAUCUCUGGGCUUAACUCAGAAACUGCCAUGGAUACUAUUUGUCUUGAAUAUUGUGGAGGUAAGCGGAAUAUGUCAUGUAGCGGUGAAAUGCUUAGAUAUGACAUAGAACACCAAUUGCGAAGGCAGCUUACUACACAGUUAUUGACGCUGAGGCACGAAAGCGUGGGGAUCAAACAGG
rnacentral:rRNA from 1 species